ensembl:lncRNA
UUCCAAAUGUGCUCAUUAGAUUUGAUAUUAAAUUGAGGUUGAAGCUGUUUAUGGACAGUAGAAACAUACACGUAAGACGCUUAACCACAUUGAACACAGCACAUCCGUGGUCCUGACCCAGAUAAUACGUCUAAAUCAAGAACUUAUAGCACACACUUCCUCUAUCUUCAUUACACGACCUCGGUCUGCGGAUCAUCAUCAUAAGUGGAUACAGAUUUGCUCCAUGAACUGCUCCGCAAGGAUGGACCAUCAGUCAUUGACCAGACGGACAGACAGAAUUGGGAUACAUGGAUACUCUACAAUAGCACAGAUCUGUGGAUAAAGGACGUUUUGCUUCUUGCUGAAGAGGAAGUAAAGAAAGCAGAAAAAAACUGUCACAGCCAACCAUUUUAUUGGGAAUUGGGAAAAAAACGGUAAAUGGGAUGUACUUCAAAAUAACGAUACAAAGCAAACCAACAGGACAUGUAAACUAUUGAAAGCAUUUUCAAAAUAAAUCUGAUGGCAUAAGAUUUUUUUUCUCAAGUGAGAAAACAGGUGUUUUCGGAUCUGUUUCGUAACUGUUGCCGUUACGUUGGUCUACUACAUUUUAAGAAGGAGGACAAAAAUAACUAAUAUUAUGCAGGAAACAGAAGGUAAGAAGGAAGGUCGAUGGUUUCACUGACACUUGAGUUUUCACAAACAUUUCUGAUGAUACAACCAACAUUUGUCCCUAACAAAGACACAGUGGUCUGACUAAGAGUGACCAAAGGGCAAAUAAGUCCAACACUGGCAAGAGGGCUUAUGAAAGGAAAGACACAGACAAGGCGAAUCUCCACAUCUGUCUCAUCUCGCACUCCUUUUGCCUCCGGGACUUCUGCCAGUCUGCUCUCUACCUUCUUACAACGUCUUAAUUGGACCAAUGUGUCUCUGUCUGGGCCCGUGGCCAAGGUGCCCCGACCCCGUGUGCAGCGCUCUUGGUUGGCGGUCAGAGCACAUCAGUCAAAAUGCACUACAGCGGCCCUUUGCAAUACGUCCCCCCGCCACGCAACACGGCGUCAUUUCCAGAAGCCGCACACCGGAAAACCUCAGCCGAGUCACUGGAGUUAAAUCAGUCGAUUCGGCAGUUUUGAGGUCAACACUUACCGACAAAAAAUGACUCGGCCGAGGAUUUAAUCAUCUUAAUGUCCGCCUGUGAAGUCAUAAAUAUAUAUAUCACUAGUUUUUAUGAACAUCAAUUGCAUUUGGGGGUGGAACCCUUCUUCCACCAACACAAACUUUGUUCAUUGCCCCUCCUCGGGUGUCUCCCUGAAUUACGACGCAGCGAGGUCCCGUUCAACAAACAAAUCACUCUCCCUGCCCCACGUGCUGCUCUCGAACUACUUGCCUGAGUCACUUUCCUUCUGCCCUGCGAGCUCUCCUCCUUCAAUUGCGAGCGAGCUGACCGCCGCCUGGGACCAAUGUGAUUGGUUCAAAGAAAUACAAACAAGGCUUUUCUCCCCUCUCCACAUACCAUAAUGACGACGCGUGGUGCCAGACCUCCCUUCUGCGCUGACACAGCGAUAGAUGUGUCUAUGUGAAAGCAUCUUAUGAAGAUCUUAUUAAAACAAAUGUGAUUUA